GACAGUUGAAAGUUCGGCACAUGAGUUUUUAGGGAAGGACAACUCAACCACUCUCUCGGCUAGUGUGAACUUUGUUGAUCUGGCGGGAAGCGAACGUGCAUCUCAAGCAUUAUCAGCUGGUACGAGACUGAAAGAAGGUUGCCACAUAAAUCGCAGUUUGCUUACUCUAGGAACGGUUAUUCGCAAGCUAAGCAAUGGAAGAAAUGGACAUGUUCCUUACAGAGAUUCUAAGCUUACA